rnacentral:rRNA from 1 species
GGUUCAGGACGAACGCUGGCGGCGUGCCUAAUACAUGCAAGUCGAGCGGACCGACGGGAGCUUGCUCCCUUAGGUCAGCGGCGGACGGGUGAGUAACACGUGGGUAACCUGCCUGUAAGACUGGGAUAACUCCGGGAAACCGGGGCUAAUACCGGGAUGCUUGAUUGAGCCGCAUGGUUCAAUUAUAAAAAGGUGGCUUUCAGCUACCACUUACAGAUGGACCCGCGGCGCAUUAGCUAGUUGGCGAGGUAACGGCUCACCAAGGCGACGAUGCGUAGCCGACCUGAGAGGGUGAUCGGCCACACUGGGACUGAGACACGGCCCAGACUCCUACGGGAGGCAGCAGUAGGGAAUCUUCCGCAAUGGACGAAAGUCUGACGGAGCAACGCCCGCGUGAGUGAUGAAGGUUUUCGGAUCGUAAAACUCUGUUGUUAGGGAAGAACAAGUGCCGUUCGAAUAGGGCGGCACCUUGACGGUACCUAACCAGAAAGCCACGGCUAACUACGUGCCAGCCGCCGC